UUAGGAAGGGUAUCGGACAGUCAGAGGAGAGCCUAAAGUAGCACAAAGGCGGUAGCCACACUCAUCAUGGCGGCCAAAGGGCGACCGAGCGGAGGGGGGUGGAGCCACCCCUGGCGGUUGGGGCACGUUGCCGUCUCCGUCGUCGCAUUUAUUGGUUUGUUUGAGAAGGAAUCAGAAAGGCAAUGGGUGGAAGUGGACGUCGGUCAAAGUUAGUCCCGCCUCCAGGCUCUCAACGCGCUUCUCAGCGCCGGGACUCCUUCAAGAUCGCCAGUGCCUUCCUUGCUCGGUUUGCCCUUUUCUCCGGGGUGACGUCACGGCGUAGCCGUCACACCCUCGAGACGUGCGAACGGCUCCGCAGGGUGUGGAGAAGGUGGAGGGUGCAGUUGGGUGAGGUACCCUUGGGGUGUCGACUCCUGCCUGCUAGGCUGAAAGGCCUUGAGCUACGGGACGCGAUGGAACUGGGAAGCUUACCGUUUGACGACGCUUGUUCCAAGGCGGAAGUGCUCUCUGCAGCCUCUGUCGCCGCCCUCUCUGUAACCUUGUUGGGCUGGGUGGGGAGUUCCUGCCCAUUCUCAACUUGGGGUCCAGAGCUCAAAUGACCACCCAUCUUGGGGGCCUCGAAGAGUUGGGCUUUUUUCCCCCUGCCGCGGCUUGGGCCAUUAAGCAAGUGAGAUUCGGCCCAUGCGGUUUGGCGUCGUUUCAAGGGCCUUGACUUUUGUGUCACCUCCCUGAAUUUGAGUUUUCUCUGGUUGACCACGUAGGUCCAGUGGGGAAGUUCUUGAGGUGAAAACUGAUCGCGCUCGGCAAAAUGAAAAAAAGAGGUUCAGCAUGUUUGGGGCUGGGUGCGAAACCGUUCCCUCUUGGACGUAUUUCAGACCCAAUGGUAGUCGUUAAGGAAGAGACCUUCACCCAGGCCCUGCCAGGCCCUGGAAGCCUGUGCUGAGCCCGGCGGGAGAAGGGCCACCGACCCCCAAAGUAGUCAGCUAGGGGUUGCGGAAACGGAGCUGUUAGGUUGACACCUGGUUGGUGGGACUGGAGGACGUUUCAUGAAGGAGGUAGCAUUCGUACCGGACCUUGUAAAGGUAACGUGAUUCCAACAGGUGGGAGUUGAGAACCUAGACUAUUCUGGUUACAGCCGAGGGGCCAUUUCCCAAGUUUGAAAGAACCCAGCCCUUGCUGUAGAAACUGGUUUCUGCCAUUACUACUGACAGCUUUACUGCCGUGUGUUGCCUUUUUUUUUUUGCAGGGAGAAGAGGGAUGAUGAUUAAAUACAUCAGAUAAGAGCUAAACCUGAUGGUAAAGAUUAGAGAGAUCAAGGGCCUCCUUGGACUCCUCCCCUGGACCCUCUGCAUCCAGCCGGCUGGUUAGCUAAGAGAGAGAAAACCACGAAAGGUAGUGAACGCUGGAAAUGGUGUCAGGUAUUUCUUCCCACGUCGUGUUGGUCUGACCCAGUUGUCCGGCCCCAACCUGAGUCAAGCAAACUGGGACAUGGCUUCCUAUGUGCUCAGGAGGAAGAAAUGGGAAUGAUGAGCAUCUGGCCAAUCUCUGCUGCAGCUGCUAAUUUUGGUGGCCUCCAGGCCAGAGCUACUGACUUGCUGAGGAAGAGAGGUAGGAGGAUUAUACUCUUGUACACAUUGGAUUUUAUAAAUCCAAAUAUUGCCUCUUCAAAUAAAUUAAAAAAGAGGAGACUGGUGGAAUUAUGGGUCAUCCAUACCAUGUGAGAGUGAAGUACAUCUGUACAUACUGGAAUGGAACGAUCUUCAGUGGAGAUGGGCAACAUUUAAAAGCCAGAGAAUACCAAGUGCUGGCCGAAAUAAAGAGCCGCUGAAACUCUCAGACCUUGCUAGGUGGAAUGUCAGCGGAUGCAACCUCUUUGGAAAGCAGGUAUGUGGACAGAAGAAGCAGACGAGGGAAAGGAAGCAGGGCAGGCAGGCUCCAGGGUUCUCAUUUCCCCGUCUAUCUCCCCAGCCCAUCUAGAUCUGGACCAGGGGAAGCUACAGAAGACAGAUACAGAGAAUACAAAGAACCCAAGAGCAUCAGAGGCUUGUGGACCACUUCCCCAGGUUUCAUAUACAGGCAGGCUCUCCCAUCAUGCUCCAAAAUGGCUCCAGAAUGCACAGCCUUUUUCAUUCAAACGUAGUGGAAUCUAUCAAAGGAUUCAUUGGGUCUCAUUGACUCUCAUUGGGUCACAUGAAAUGCCUGAACCAACCGCAGUGCUUAGCAUCAAAGGGAAGUGCUGCUUGGCUUAGAUCUCUGGAGCUAGGACUGGGUGAAAUCAUGGCAUGGAACCUGGAUGACUAGGGAAAAGAUGAUAUUGAAUAGCCAAAAUGCUACAUAUCCUGUAUCUUCUUUUAAUGGUUGAAGCAGAACUUUUCCUUUUUUUUGUAUCUGUGGAUCAUCUGGAGAUCCUGUCAAAAGUGCGGAAUCUGAUGAAGUAGGUCUGGGGUGGGGCAAAUUGAUUUCAUCUGUUUCUUUUUACCUUUUUAACAUGGUUACUAGAGAAUUAAAAAAUACAUGGUUUCCGCUGGAUAGUGCUAUCCUAGAAGGAGGUAAUGAAGUGGAUGAAGAUGUUGAUCUUGAAACACAUUCAUUUUCACUUAUGAAUACUCAAUCAGAAGAACCAGAUAUAGCAGAGACCACAUGAGACUUACCUCAUGGGUCCUUGGACUUGGUCCACCCUCAGGACCUCAGGGUUAUGUGGCUGCAGGUUGAAUUAAUGCAUGAGUGCUUAGGAUCGAGGACACUGGAACGAGCCUGGUACGGUUUGACCUGAGGAAAGAGGAAAUGCUGGGGAUCCCAGAGUUGCUCCCCCCAACCAGCAGUCACUUCAUUUCCCAUUUUUGUUUACGCAGUUGUCUGAAUUACAGGAAUUACAACUGUGCUUAUCAACUUCCCUGAUCUGUCCUGCACACAUCCACUCAACUGAUCUCUGCACUCCCUUUUAGCCCUUUCCUGCCCAGACAUAUGCACCCAGCUGCAGUCUGCUUUCUAGGAACUCCCUACUGAACCCAGAAUGUCUUGUCCUACCAGUCCACAGGCCCCCAAAUGUGUCUCUCACUUUCCCCAUCUGUCUAAGUUACUCCCUUACUGUUUGAAUCUCUGUCUCCACCAGCCCCACCUUUCAAAGCCCACGUCAAGGUUAUCUGCCUCCAGAGAGGCCUUUUCAAGACCUGGCCCACAGAAGCCUGCCUUCAGAACUUGUAGGACAUGCUGUCUUUGGCCAGCGUAUCUGCUAUGGAGGGCUGUGUUGUCUAACUCUUAAGUUAUUAGGGUUUUCCUGCAUUUGUGCCUUGAUUCUUUGGGCUGUAAGUUCCUUGGGGACAGAGGCCUGUUUGGUUUCCCCUAUUUGAAUUCCCCUUUUGACCAGGGCCUGUAUAAUAAAUAGAUCCUCAAAAAAUAUAAUUUGGCUCACUUUCCCAAUACAAAACAAAAUGCUAGUUGAAAAUACAUAGACUUUUAUAUGAAAUAUAUGCAUAAACAUAUAUUU